rnacentral:rRNA from 1 species
UACGAAGGGGGCUAGCGUUGCUCGGAAUCACUGGGCGUAAAGCGCACGUAGGCGGAUUGCUAAGUCAGGGGUGAAAUCCUGGAGCUCAACUCCAGAACUGCCUUUGAUACUGGCGAUCUUGAGUCCGGGAGAGGUGAGUGGAACUGCGAGUGUAGAGGUGAAAUUCGUAGAUAUUCGCAAGAACACCAGUGGCGAAGGCGGCUCACUGGCCCGGUACUGACACUGAGAGACGAAAGCUAGGGGAGCGAAUGGG